CCUUGUAUCUGCCUGGUUUCCUAUAGCUACGUACUCUUGACUACUUAGGCCAUCUCCAACGUGUGGGACACGUGGGGCAAUCGCUUGCCAACCAAAAUUUGAAGAGGCAAUUGCAGAAAAUUAUUUCCAACAGGUCUCCAUAUCUGUCUUAUCCCUCCCCAAAUUUUUGUUGAGUUUCAAAUAACACGUUAGAGUUGAGAGCAAAAAAUUGCUCCAUAUUCUUCUUGUCCCAACGGUUCUCUCUCUCAAAUCUGAAAUUGGAAGAAGACGCCAGUGAUGAGCAACAGUAACGGCUACCAACGACGAAAAUGAGGAAUAGUAGUAGUGAUAACUGAGAAGAACGAGCAUUGUAGGCAAAAGCAGCGACUUGCAGACAUCAGAUCCGUGAAAGUGGUUGCGGCAACAAGUAGCAACGAUGGCGGCGCGGCAACAGCGACUCCCUACUCCAGCAGCAGUGAGGAGCUUCUUGAGGAUACUAUAAUUAAAUAGAUGUCAGAAGUCAAAGUGGAACAACAAACAAAAUAAGGUAACCUCCAUCGUUAUUUGAUGCUUGUUAAUUAUUAAUAUCAUAUUGCUAGUCAUUGUUUUAUUGACAUUAUUAUUUAGCUGUCUAGAUUUCUCAAGUAGUAGAGAUGUACAAAAUCCUGCAAAAGUUUUUCACAUUUCUACAUUGUUUGCAUGAGUUGUGACAUGCACCUAAAUUCCCCUCAAGUUCUUUGAAGAAAAAAUCCAAAAUUUUUGAACAUGCAACAUCAUCACUAUCUACUCUCAAUUCGAUGAACCUGUCUGAUUUUGAUGUCUGAAUCAACGAGCUUUCAUUAGAACAAUUAAUGGGAAGAAAUGCUUCAAAAGAAUGUGGACAAAAAAAAAACAAAAAACUAAGGUAAUAGAAGUUUGUACUAAGUCAAUAAAAACUAUGUUGACAGAAAUUACUAAAAUGAGAACUCAAUCCAAAAUGUUAUUACUUGAACAAUCGAAUGAGAUGUUAAAGCUGGAAAGAAAUGAUUGAACUAGAAAGAUUAAAGGAAGAGCGAGAAAGAAAAAAAGAAUAACGAGAACAACUACUUUAUGAAGAAAGAAUUAUGGGCGUUGAUAUUAGUAAUAUAGAUGGACUUCAAGCUGAACAUUACAAUGGACUCAAACUCAAAAUUAUUCAGAAAAGGCGAAGUGCAAGAUUAUCAGAUUUGUAAAAAUGUAGUUGGAAUUAAUGUAUAGAUCUUUUCCUUUUAGUAAUGUAUGGAGUUGGGAUUAAGUGAACUUCAUGAACAUUAAUUUAAUAAUGUACAUUUUCCUUUUAGUAAUAUAUUAUUGUUGUGUUUAGUA